AGCAAAGCAGAGAAGAAAAACAAAAAGCAUGUAAUUCUAUUUAUAUAUAUUUGCAAUGUAUAUAUUGAUUCUGAUACUUUUUUCAAAAUUUAGUUUAAUACUUUUGGCACAAAAUUAACUCCAUAGUGAAGCAUCUUCUUUACUAUAUAAAACUGCAGCAAAAAUACCUGAAGCCAGUUACACAAAACACCUUACGUUUUCUCCUUAAGCAUGACACUAAUGCUCUGCAUGCUAAUUUCUCUUUAGCUGAGGGAUUUAUUUAAGGGUGCAGCACAGAAUCCCUUAAAAGGAUAAACCUAAGGGAUUGACCGCAUUGAAAGAGAUUUUACAGCAGUUAAAUUGUACAGUUUCCAUUGAGACAGUUUGUUUGCUUGCACUCACACCUGUUUGUGAUACCUGUUAGUGCCUCCACUGUUAAUUUUGUUGACAAAAAUAUGGCCCGACAAAGGGUUUUUGCCUGACGAUAACUAAAACAAAAACGUGACUAUAAUAUGCGUUAAUAACAAUGAUGAAAUUAAACAUACUAUUAGUCUGUCAAAAAUAAAUUUAAAUUUUUUUUAUAAAGGCCAGAUUUCGUCACCACUGCAUCCCUAUCUGAUAAAAAUGGAGACUUUCCCUUGGCGUAUUGCGUACAAAACAAAUAGGUACUUUCCGCUUGAAGAACAACUACUAAGUGGGGCAUAUGGCAAUAAGCUUUGCACGGGGGCUAACUUAGGAGUUAAGUUGGCAUUCAUGUCAUAUUUUUAAGGACAAGCGGAACAACAAAAAGAACAAAUCUUUGAACGCGAGUGUGUAAUUCCUGUACGGGACUCAUUCCGUGCGAAUGAUUGGUUUGUGAACAUCACACCAUUAAUGUUUUUAUUGUUCUACACAUUUAAAUAAAUGACAGCAGUGGGGUGGGUGUUUCCCUCCCCUUUACUUCCCUUUUGAGCAUUCUUGUAGCUCUUAUUUGCAUAUCAAAUUUACUCCAGUGUAGAUUAAAACACCGGUGAUCGUCAUUAAGGUGCAUCUUUCCUGCUUCAUGCCCUCUGAUGCUGCUGAUGUUUGUUGGUCUUCAGCUUGCUGCUGGUUUCCCUGACUGUUCCUGCUUAUUUAGGCUUAUUUGCUGCUGAUCCCCAGUCAAGGGGCUGUUUGCUGUGUGGAUGCCCAGGCCAGUGCAUGACCAGUGCUGCUGGACCAUAUUGGACACGCUGCUGAUUUUUCCAUUUUUAUUGUUUCUGAUAUAUUUUGUUGUCCCUCAACAGUCACCCAUUUUGGGCUGCCGUAUCUUAGCGAAGGCAGCUCAGGCUCAGAGGACGCAACUCACCAGGUGCAGGGGUUGUCGAAAAGGCUGGUUGGGGAGUCCAGGGCAGGUCUGGCUCCAUAUGCUAAUUGGUGGGAUGUCCCCGAUCGACUGCAUAAACAGGGCCUGGUCUGUGUACCAGGGGGAGAAGGAGCUGUUGUGUUUUGUUGUAUUUUGUUUUGUUGGUUGAAGGUUCUGUUUGGUAAAACCAUAAUGUUUAAAUAAACCCCUAGACGUCUUGAACUUGGCUGCUACCUCUCCUGCACUUUGUCGCUAUUUUGAGCCAAUGGUGACACUCAUGCUCCCUAAACCACACUUUCAAUUCAAGACUGAUGAAUCCUGGAAUUAUCAUCCUGGAAUGCCCACAUCAUUUGGAAAGCAAAAUUGAUGAGAACCUGGCCAUUCAGCAGAUUCAGGAACUCAUCUGUUAACUCGGUGCCGCUGGGCGGUACCCGUUACAGAUUUUUGGGGGCCCGUACAGGGAGCGGCAACAGAUGCGCUGGCUUCAAGCACAACCA